GGCUAAAAGAGAAGGAGCUUUGCUGUGAGAUGACUGGCUGAGACCUCACUAAGCUUGAGAACAGCAAGUCAGGCUUCCUGCAUAAAGUGCCUUUCCAGCACAUCUCAGACCUGAUCAAAGGUGUUUGAGGGGAGAAGAUAAAUGUGAUACUUUGCAUCAUCAGAAGAGAUGCAACUAUCAGUUGAAAUGGGUGUCAUUCAUCUUCCAAACUUUCAAAAAUAUCACAACACCUCCUGAGCAAGUCAAGCUAUGUACCUGAUAACCAGUGUAACUGAUAACUCUCUCGUAUUGGUGGAAAUUA